rnacentral:rRNA from 1 species
UACAGAGGUGGCAAGCGUUGUUCGGAAUUACUGGGCGUAAAGGGCGCGUAGGCAGUCUUGUAAGUCCCGUGUGAAAGCCCCCGGCUCAACUGGGGAACGGCACGGGAAACUGCGAGGCUUGAGUGCGGGAGAGGGAAGCGGAAUUCCGGGUGUAGCGGUGAAAUGCGUAGAUAUCCGGAGGAACACCAGUGGCGAAGGCGGCUUCCUGGACCGAUACUGACGCUGAGGCGCGAAAGCUAGGGGAGCAAACGGG